CAACCCCACCCAAAGCUGUCCGACCCGGCCCAUUGCCAUGUCCCCUUUUCUUCUUCACAAACGGCGUAUAAACAUAGAAAAGCUACAUCAAUCAGCAAUCAAACACCAACGACCCGAACCCUACAUCGCGAAAUCUCCAAAUCCCAUACCCGAUUCAAACCCAAAAUCGAUACCCAAACCACCCAUCUUCCCUCUUUUACCUAUCAUAUGGCUCUCACGCGAGUUGGUACCAAGAAAAUUCGAGAACCCUCUAGCAACACGCUUAGGUAUCCCCCUCUAACGGCUACCUCCGCAAAUCACGGAUUAUUUGGUACGAAUUCGUAGUCUUUGGCAAUUUUUGAUUGGUUCGUGAAGGGAAUCAGUUAGCUUCUUUUUUUAGAUUUCAUGAAGAAGGUUCCAAAAUUGGUACAAGGGGUUGAGGGGCAAAACCCUAUUCGGAAUUUGAAUGUUUUUCCCCAUUCGAAAAUCCCUAGAUUGCCCCUGAGUGGGAUUGUUUCCCACAUCGUUUGAAGACUGAUUUUGGGCCCUCUCUUCUCGUCUAUAUAAAGGAGGUUUGGGAACUAGUUGAGGGGUCGGAAAUUUUGGGGUCUUUCUCUUCUUUUGGGAAUUUUGGGUCCGAAAAAAAAAGAAGGAUUUUCUUUUGGGCCGAAAUUUUGGGGUCUAAAGAGGAGGAAAUCCUGGGGUUCGAAAAAUUAGGCUGGGAAUUCUUGGAUUCAAAAAUUUAGAUUUGGAAAAUCCAAACUGAGAGUUUCGAAACUUGGAGUCUCAAAAGAGAGAAAAAUUUUCUUGUUUCUACUGGAGGAGAAAAAAAAUUCUUGAAAAGGCAGAAACACGGGUUGGAAAUUUUUGGGGUUCGAAAAUUCAGUUUGUCGUAUAAAUUAGGGCUUCGAGUUGACUGCGAAUAUGUAUUUUCGGUGGUUGGGAGUCCGACGCUAGUUCGUUGUCCCGGUUUGCUGCCCCGAAAGAGGUAAACGCUUGUCCCUUUUAAUUCUGUUGUUUCCUGCUUCAUCCCCUCUUUCUGCGUAGAAAUAGUUAUCUGUUUAUCUUGAAUGAGGCUGGAAUUUGCUUGUGUUUGUGAUCGCUUUCUUAGCCGAAUCAGUAUGCACAUCAUAAGCUUCACUAUCGACUACUUUGAUUACUGUCUCAUGAUCUAUGGCGAUGUGAGUUAUAUGCAAGUGUGUAGCAUGAAUCAAUAAUUUGAAUAUUCUGUAGUUUUUCGAUUUGGUUUUGAUGAAGAGAAUUUGUUUUUCCUGAAGAGAUAUGUUGGGGAUACAUUGAGGUAUUUGGUUGUAAAUAGUGGUAUUAUUCAUGUUCUGUUUGGGGCAAGUAUAUGCAUCUUUCUAAGCUGCUUUAAGUUUGAUUUUUAGACGAUUUUCUCUUUAAGCUGCCUUAUGUUUGAAUCUUCAGAUGCCAUAUGCUGUGAUUUAUGCACUUUUGCAAUACCUGAACAUUUGUUCCUUUCUGUAUUCAGGCCAGCUAAAAAAUGUUUUCUUUUAGUUGUUAGACGUUCCUGCAUAUCUUAGUCGCUUGUACUAUAUCCUAGAUGAUCAAAAGAUGGUUACUUACUACCUGUAAAUACUCCUAAAUUUCAUACGAAUGUUCCUAUUUCUGAAGAAUUGAGUAAUCUGUAUGACAGUUUAAACAACAUAUUCUGACACAACGUGCUAUCUGUCUUCUUGUAUGAGCUUAUGCGAUAAGACGUUAAUUUGUUGCUUGAGUUUUUCACUGUCAAGUUGCGCAUCAUAUAAUAUGUUCGAGGUUGUGAAGGGUAGUACCUACUCUGUACAUCUGCGUCUAGCUCUAGGACAACUAAAUUUUAUGUAGUAUGUUCGUGUCUCGAUAGUGUGCAACUCCAGCUGACAUUUUCCUCUUUAACGCAUUCUGUGAUUGAUCUUUUAAGGUGCAAGAGGCAGGUCCUUAGUUGUCUCUACCUUGAAGUUGUCAACUUUGAUGUUUUCUGAUUCUGUUGUAUGUUUUCUAAUCUGCAAGCGUAGUUGUUGGAUGCCAUAAAUGAUGGAAGUUUUGUCUUCUGUUUUAUCAUGGACUUAUUUGCCGUAGUCUAGUUGAAUAUUCCUGUCUUGUCUCAAUGUUCUAGCAUGGCGUUCUCUUUCAAUUUGUGUCCCUUGUUUUCUCUUAACUUUACUCUUAGUGCGAAGUUAUUAAUGCCGAUUUAUUUGACUAUAUUGGUCUGAUGCGGGCUGCUCCUUAAAUCCGCUUAAUCCUUGAAAAGUCAAUGGGAAUAAUGAGUGAAUAUUCCAUAAUGAGAUCGAUAAUCCCACGAGUCCUCAAAGAUCUUUCCUUUGAUUCUUGAAAAUUCAUUUCGAGUCGGUCGAAGGGAAGGGAAGGGCGAGGUUAUAUCCUAAAACUCUUAAUGGUUUUUGUAAGGCUACUUGCGUGAGAGGGAUAUUCUAGCUUGUUUUAUGAAAUAGCAAAUUAGUCGGUUUGAAUGUUGACGAUAAGUUGUAUUUUUUAUUGAUUCCAUUGAUAAAGGAUGUUUGAAGUAUUUGUUUCCUUGGUGGGUAAUUCUAGACGUGAUACUUUCUGCUAUGAGACGAAUUAGAAGGUCAAUACGAUUCCCGUGUCUGAAAUAUUCUCUUUACAUAUUCUCUUUUUUGUGUAGAUGCUAACAUUUGGAGCCUACAUUCAUUUCUUUAUUUUCUUUUCUUUGCAUGAACCUGCCUUUGAGUCCAAACGGACCCUAUUCCCAUUAUUGCAUUAUUAAUGUGGGCUAUUGAGGCCCAUCCCUCCUGAGUCGAUUUUAAAGGUCAUAAGUAGACAAUCUCAUUGUACACGGACACAAGGAGUUGAAGGAAGGAGCACAGAUUAAAGUUCCAUUUUUGAAGAGGCGACGAAACCCGAGCCUCAUUUAUUUGUUGUCGUUACUUAUUUAUGGUUGUCGUAUUUAUUUAUUUAUUUCUUUAAUUAUUUAUUUUGGCCUCGAAGCGAAAGUUGUAUUUAAUACAGGUGAAGUGAAAACUCGAGCCGAAAAGGGCUCGAAAACAUAGAAUUAGGACAAGUGAAAAAUGGGUCAAAAACCCAACUAGAUUAGGAUAGGGUCGACGAUUUGGGCUUAAAAGCCUAAAUCACUACUUCUCCCCUUUUUCCUUUUUCUAUUUGCUUACUUUAUGUGUGUUUUGCGAACCUAGUAAAAUCCUUAGUCAAGUCGCUAAAAAACUGAUUUUGCAUAAACACCAAAAUAUUCCUGAAAAAUCGCUUUUCUUUUCAAAAACGUAAACUUUUUCAAAGUUAGUUAAAGACGAUUUUCAAACAGUCUAGAUAACCGCAAGUUAGCGUACGUUUUAGGUGCCUAACACCUUCCUAAAACGUUAAUAGGAACUACUUAUUUAGAAUUUCUAACUUAAAAUGAUUUUCUUGUUUUGAAUCAUUUAAAGUAACUUUCUAAAGGUUUCUUAAUUUCUUUUCAAAAUUAAGUGGUGACUCUCAAAAAUCCAAAAUUUCUCUGCAAAACAAUGUGCAAUUAAAGUUGGUCAUUGUCCAUUUUAACAGAUAUCUUUUUCUCCAACAACGCGCUCGAUACGGUAGCAUCGCCCUUUGUAACGAUCAAAACUGGUUAUUACAACCACACUAACACAGCUAGAGAGUUUAAUACGCCUUAGUGAAGUCCUUGCUCGGAUUGCGUUUUGCAGAAAAGAUUGAUAUAGCUUUCCUAGUAUAAUACUCGUCUUUGUGUUUCGACUUCUAGACGUUGUCUUGAUCAUGCUACAGGUAUAUCAUGCUGUCGGUAUAGUCUACCAAAAUCAUUGCUUUCAUAUAUUUUGAACAGCAUAAGAGGACACACCAAAUCAUGAAAUUUAUAUCAGACACCUACUAAUGUUUCUUAUCUGUCAAAUAUAUGUGCAUAUGGUUGCAUGCUAUAGAGAUAUCAUUUACUUUAACUUGCAUUAUACUGCUGAUGAGAUAUAUUUUUCCAAACUUCAUGCUUUUGCAAUUCUGUAGGUUGGAUCAUUAUCUUCCAUCCAAAAAUAUGACACAAAUUAUAUUUAUCCUUCUGCAAUAAUAUAACUCAAAAAUAAUUAACCUUCGCUUAGAUUUUACAAACAUAUUACACUUGACGAUUAUAGGUCUUC